UACCUGCUGACGGCCGGCGCACGGGUGAGUAACGCGUAUGCAACCUGCCUUUAACCGGGGGAUAGCUUUCGGAAACGGAAAUUAAUACCCCAUAACAUUCUAUAGUGGCAUCACUUAAGAAUUAAAACUCCGGUGGUUAGAGAUGGGCAUGCGUAACAUUAGCUAGUUGGUAAGGUAACGGCUUACCAAGGCAACGAUGUUUAGGGGACCUGAGAGGGUGAUCCCCCACACUGGUACUGAGACACGGACCAG
rnacentral:rRNA from 1 species